AGCUCCACCAGUUUUGUGUAUUGCUUUCUCACAGAUACCAAUUCUAACUUUCCAUAUUCACAUUAAGUUAGAACAAUGCUACCUAAAUAAUUACUAUAAACUAUGCCGUUCCCUGUAAGAGAUGUUAUCAUCAUCAUCGGACAGACUGAUUAAGAAAUUAGGCAACAUAACUCUUAACAUGAAACCCACUGGCAUUUAAUAUGUAAAGCCUUUAUUUAACCUUAACUAGAUUGCCCG